rnacentral:SRP_RNA from 1 species
UUGUGCUAGGCUCCGAUUCAUGCGGGGCUGAAUUCCCGCUGAAGGAUAACCUCCUGAAACCGCGGCCUUCUGGCUGACCGGCCGCCAUGCAACAGACACUCGUGAACCUCGUCAGGUCCGGAAGGAAGCAGCGAUAAAUGAUGGCGUCUGUGUCAUGGAACGAUCCCGGUUUUGCUUUUGGGUCCAGGUUUUAAGGAAUUGUUCAAAGGCGGGUGCACAA